rnacentral:rRNA from 1 species
GACGAACGCUGGCGGCGUGCCUAAUACAUGCAAGUAGAACGCUGAAGGAGGAGCUUGCUCUUCUGGAUGAGUUGCGAACGGGUGAGUAACGCGUAGGUAACCUGCCUGGUAGCGGGGGAUAACUAUUGGAAACGAUAGCUAAUACCGCAUAAGAGUAGAUGUUGCAUGACAUUUGCUUAAAAGGUGCAAUUGCAUCACUACCAGAUUGACCUGCGUUGUAUUAGCUAGUUGGUGGGGUAACGGCUCAACAAGGCGACGAUACAUAGCCGACCUGAGAGGGUGAUCGGCCACACUGGGACUGAGGCACGGCCCAGACUCCUACGGGAGGCAGCAGUAGGGAAUCUUCGGCAAUGGACGGAAGGCUGACCGAGCAACGCCGCGGGAGUGAAGAAGGUUUUCGGAUCGUAAAGCUCGGUUGUAAGAGAAGAACGAGUGUGAGAGUGGAAAGUUCACACUGUGACGGUAUCUUACCAGAAAGGGACGGCUAACUACGUG